rnacentral:rRNA from 1 species
UACGUAGGGUGCGAGCGUUGUCCGGAUUUAUUGGGCGUAAAGAGCGCGCAGGCGGUGUGACAAGUCAGAUGUGAAAGAGGCCGGCUUAACCGGCAAGGGUCAUUUGAAACUGUCAGACUAGAGUGCAGCAGAGGAUAGCGGAAUUCCCGGUGUAGUGGUGGAAUGCGUAGAUAUCGGGAGGAACACCAGUGGCGAAGGCGGCUAUCUGGGCUGUAACUGACGCUGAGGCGCGAAGGCUAGGGUAGCGAACAGG